GCUCAGGACGAACGCUGGCGGCGUGCUUAACACAUGCAAGUCGAACGGAAAGGCCCUGCUUUUGUGGGGUGCUCGAGUGGCGAACGGGUGAGUAACACGUGAGUAACCUGCCCUUGACUUUGGGAUAACUUCAGGAAACUGGGGCUAAUACCGGAUAGGAGCUCCUGCUGCAUGGUGGGGGUUGGAAAGUUUCGGCGGUUGGGGAUGGACUCGCGGCUUAUCAGCUUGUUGGUGGGGUAGUGGCUUACCAAGGCUUUGACGGGUAGCCGGCCUGAGAGGGUGACCGGCCACAUUGGGACUGAGAUACGGCCCAGACUCCUACGGGAGGCAGCAGUGGGGAAUAUUGCACAAUGGGCGGAAGCCUGAUGCAGCAACGCCGCGUGCGGGAUGACGGCCUUCGGGUUGUAAACCGCUUUCGCCUGUGACGAAGCGUGAGUGACGGUAAUGGGUAAAGAAGCACCGGCUAACUACGUGCCAGCAGCCGCGGUGAUACGUAGGGUGCGAGCGUUGUCCGGAUUUAUUGGGCGUAAAGGGCUCGUAGGUGGUUGAUCGCGUCGGAAGUGUAAUCUUGGGGCUUAACCCUGAGCGUGCUUUCGAUACGGGUUGACUUGAGGAA
rnacentral:rRNA from 1 species